UACGUAGGCGGCAAGCGUUGUCCGGAAUUAUUGGGCGUAAAGGGAGCGCAGGCGGGAAAUUAAGCGGAUCUUAAAAGUGCGGGGCUCAACCCCGUGAUGGGGUCCGAACUGGUUUUCUUGAGUGCAGGAGAGGAAAGCGGAAUUCCCAGUGUAGCGGUGAAAUGCGUAGAUAUUGGGAAGAACACCAGUGGCGAAGGCGGCUUUCUGGACUGUAACUGACGCUGAGGCUCGAAAGCUAGGGUAGCGAACGGG
rnacentral:rRNA from 1 species